rnacentral:rRNA from 1 species
GACGAACGCUGGCGGCGUGCUUAACACAUGCAAGUCGAACGGAAAGGCCCCCUUGUGGGGUACUCGAGUGGCGAACGGGUGAGUAACACGUGAGUAACCUACCCUUGACUUUGGGAUAACUUCAGGAAACUGGGGCUAAUACCGGAUAGGAGCUCCUGCUGCAUGGUGGGGGUUGGAAAGUUUCGGCGGUUGGGGAUGGACUCGCGGCUUAUCAGCUUGUUGGUGGGGUAGCGGCUCACCAAGGCUUUGACGGGUAGCCGGCCUGAGAGGGUGACCGGCCACAUUGGGACUGAGAUACGGCCCAGACUCCUACGGGAGGCAGCAGUGGGGAAUAUUGCACAAUGGGCGGAAGCCUGAUGCAGCAACGCCGCGUGCGGGAUGACGGCCUUCGGGUUGUAAACCGCUUUCGCCUGUGACGAAGCGUGAGUGACGGUAAUGGGUAAAGAAGCACCGGCUAACUACGUG